rnacentral:sRNA from 1 species
UUCUCUUCUCAUCUCCCUUCCAUUCACCAAAACAGAGUUGGGUCUAUAUUUUACCCAGCUGGCUCUUGGAACUGCAUAAAUCCUGGCUGUUUUCGUUUUUUAAAAAUUAUGAGAUUAACUACCAAACUUGAGAUGUAAGUUGUGGGUUAGCUCUUGACUCUGCUAGAUAACCUGGAACAAAGCAUUAACUUCUUUGAGAGCUUCCUUUUUUUUUUCCUUCAUUGCUGUUGUGUGUUUCUACCAGAAAAUGUGGGAAUGUGCAUGAAGGCGACCUAGCAGAGUGCCUGGCACACAGGAAGGAGCUUGUUGAAUUUAUAGUUCCGGGCUCCAGAACAAAGGCAGCCCAUCUUAGCCUGAGCCACUCUGACUUCGCUUUAGGAAAUACUGCCUAGAUAUCUAAAGGAAAGUGAUAGCAACUGCAACCAACUGUUUCUGAGGUCUGCCUGCCCACCAAUGGCCCCCUCAGCACAUGGGAACAUGUGUGGAGGUACCUGGAACAGACACUGACUCAGGGGGGUUCUGUACAGAGGCAGUGCGGGUGAAGAAAUUAAUGCGGAUUCCCCAACAAUCCAGAGGUAUAUGCAAGAGGAGGGGCAGGGGUUCUUUCAAGUCACCUUCCAGGUGACCAGGGGCCUUUACAACUCUAAGGCUCUGUGAGUAUGUUUUUUUCUUACCUUAUGGAGUAAAGGGGUAAAGAAGACAGCUGCCCUGGGUAUGGCUUUGGGUCGGAAUAAACAUUUCUCAAAUUGAA